rnacentral:rRNA from 1 species
ACGGGAGGCAGCAGUAGGGAAUAUUGGACAAUGGGUGAGAGCCUGAUCCAGCCAUGCCGCGUGCAGGAAGAAGGCGUUAUGCGUUGUAAACUGCUUUUGCCAGGGGAUAAAAAGACCGUGCGCGGUUAAUUGAAGGUACCUGGUGAAUAAGCCACGGCUAACUACGUGCCAGCAGCCGCGGUAAUACGUAGGUGGCAAGCGUUGUCCGGAUUUAUUGGGUUUAAAGGGUGCGUAGGCGGCUAUCUAAGUCAGUGGUGAAAUAUCUCAGCUUAACUGAGAGGGUGCCAUUGAUACUGGAUAGCUUGAGUACAGAUGAGGUAGGCGGAAUUGACGGUGUAGCGGUGAAAUGCAUAGAUAUCGUCAAGAACACCGAUAGCGAAGGCAGCUUACCAAGCUGUAACUGACGCUGAGGCACGAAAGUGUGGGGAUCAAACAGGAUUAGAUACCCUGGUA